rnacentral:lncRNA from 1 species
UGGUCAUGAGUUGCAUGCACCUAGUGCACGGGUGCAUGUGAGAGAGAAAAAGAGAGAGUUGUCUUUUUUGUGGGUUUAUAGAAGACGAGAGAAGGAUAGGAGAGAUUCAGAAAGAGGACUUGGGUUGUAGUUACUCUAUGCAGAAGAGAAGUCAGGUGUAAUCUUCUCUUAUUUAAUAAAUCUUAUUUUACCCACACAUUUUUUGUUUGGUUGUUUUUCUCUCUUUUGUGAUUGUAUCAGUUUUUGCUUAGGAGACGGGUUUAUGGUAAAAAUCUGAUUUGACCCCUUCGUUGCGGAAUCCCAACAAUCGGUACCGGAUCAACAAUAGUUGAUAUCGGAGUGGGUUACGGAUUCUCAAAAUUUGGUACCACGGCGGGUACCGGAUUCCCAACAAUUGAUAUCAGAGUCGAAGGUUACCGAUCUGUGGGACUGAUCGACGGAGAUGGCAAUGAAAUUCAAAAUCGAGAAGUUCGAUGCCAAGAACAAUUUUGGAUUAUGGCAAAUUAAACUACGGACAAUCCUCGUACAACAAGAGUUAGAUCAGACAUUGAACAGAAAAGAGGCGAAGCCGGCGGAGGUUACGGAUGCGGCAUGGACGAAGAUGGAGCGGAAGGCAUUGAGUGUGAGACCCCAGAUAGUCCUAUAUAUGAGAUAUAAUAGGGCUAAACUCUUAACCCGGCUUAAGCAUUUUGGGUGGUAGCUAGACCCAAGAGGUUAAGAGAGUUAAGCGUGCUAGGACGGGAGUAGUCCUAGGAUGGGUGACCCCCUGGGAAGUCGGGGCGUCACAGAUGGUAUCAGAGCCAAUUACCAGCCGGAAGUGUGAGAUGAGUCUCGGCUGAGCCAGGGUCUGGAUGAUGGGUUAGCGAGACAAGUCUCACAUUGCCUGGUACUUGUGAUCUGAGCCUGACGAGGGAUCUGAGCCUGACGAGGACGUCAAGGGCUUAAAGGAGGGGAGAUUGUGAGACCCCAGAUAGUCCUAUAUAUGAGAUAUAAUAGGGCUAAACUCUUAACCCGGCUUAAGCAUUUUGGGUGGUGGCUAGACCCAAGAGGUUAAGAGAGUUAAGCGUGCUAGGACGGGAGUAGUCCUAGGAUGGGUGACCCCCUGGGAAGUUGGGGCGUCACAUUGAGCAUGCUUCAUCUAUCAUUAGCAUAUGAGGUUCUUUACAACGUAGCCAGCGAGACGACACCGGCGAAAUUGUGGAAGAAAUUAGAAUAUCUGUACAUGGCCAAAUCCUUGACGAACAUGUUGUAUCUAAAGCAGCGACUGUUUACGCUGUAGAUGCAGGAAGCUGCGAGCCUGUAUGUGUAUCCUAACGAGUUCAACAUAGUGGUGGCCCAGUUGACAAGCAUCAGAGUCAAUCUGGAUGACGAGGAUAAGGUGUUGAUUUUACUAUCUUCGCUACCGACGACAUAUGAGCAUCUGGUGACCACGUUGCUUUAUGGCAAGGAGACCAUAAGCGUGGAGGCGGUCACGGCAGUGCUUUUCUUGAAUAAGUGUGGAGGCGGUCACGGCAUCAGAGUCCAGCACGCAGAGUCGGGAUACUGCUUUGGUAGUAAGAGCGACAAAGGAGGCGACAAUAUCGACGACCAGAUAUCGACAGAAAAAGCCGCUAUCUGAGAUAGAGUACUUUUACUGUCACAGGAAAGGGCAUAUUAAGCGCAAUUGUCGAAAACAUUAGGAUGAUCUGAAUGAGUUAAAGCGACAAAAGGAGAAAACUGUCGUGAAUCAGGAUAAGACAGUAUCAGUGAUAGCGCAGGUGACAGAGUCAGAGACGAUCGAUUCUGAUGUGUUGUAUGCAGCGACUGGAGGUGUUAAAAUUUCAGAUGACGCACGGGUGCUCAAUUCGGCGUGUUCUAUUCACGAAUGCCCGGAGAAGGAGUCUUUUGCCAUCUAUAAGGCAAUUAAGGGUAGAAAGAUUUUGAUGGGGAACGGGACGGCGUGCAAAGGUUUGGAAGUCGGCACGGUGAAGAUCCUAAUGCAUGAUGGGGUCGUGAGGACGUUGACAGGUGUGAGGCACGCUCCUGAUUUAAAGCGGAAUUUGAUCUCGUUAGGCGCGUUGGACUCAAAAGGUUGCAAUUUUUCGGUUUCAGGUAGAGCUAUGAGGGUCCAAAAGCGAGAUCAAGCCGUGUGCAAGGCGAACAAGCACGGGAAGUUAUACGUUCUGAACGGGAGCACAGUCUGAACGGAAGCGUAGACAGUUUGGGUUCCAAAAGUUCGCGGAGGUGUAGUCACUCGAGGCAGAGCGGCGGAUGCACCGACAUCGAGCGGAAGAGAUAAGAUCAAGAUGGAGCUUGCAUGGUGAGCUCGACGCAGCGGUUGAAAACUACAAAUCCAACCAAGGUGGAAAUUGUUAAGAUUUGGUUAGAUUUGUAGUUAAAUCCUAGUUGGAUAAGAAUUAAUAUUUAAAUUUAUUGGAGCUAAAUUAAGAUUUAAAUACUAAUUAGAAUAUGAAUCUAACUAGAUUAGAAUAAAUAUUUAAAUCUUUUGGAGAUAAAUCAAUUAAGAUUUAAAUAUUUAUUUUGAGUAAGAAUUCUAAAUAUAUUGGGAUUCGGGUACGUUUUGAUGUAAGCUUUAUAAAUAGCUCUAUUGUUGGAGAGCUUAAGGUGUAGUACGGCCAAGUUGAGAUUCUUGAGGAGAGUAUAGUAAGGUGUCUUGAAGCCAUUGGUGGACCGUACUAAAGAGAGGCUUGGCCAUGAGUUGCAUGCACCUAGUGCACGGGUGCACGUGAGAGAGAAAAAGAGAGAGUUGUUUUCUUUGUGGGUUUAUAGAAGACAAGAGAAGGGUAGGAGAAAUUCAGAAAGGAGACUUGGGUUGUAACUACUCUAUGCAGAAAAGGAGUCAGGUGUAAUUUUCUCUUAUUAUACUAUCGGUAGCACGGAGAAAAAGAGAUAGAGAGAGAGAGAGAGAGAGAGAGAGAGAGCUAGGCUGGUAUACUAUC